GAGAGAUGAAGACCUAAACUGCUAGAGACUUUUAAUUCGGCUUCAGACAACCCCCGCCCUGCCCCCGCCACUGGCCUGCUGGCCUGGAGAGCCCGAGACAUCUCCUCUGCCGCCCACCGGUCCUGACAUCCUGGAGCAAAGGUUCCCCGGCUCCCACCUUCUAGAAGCAGCUGUCAUGAAGGGGGCAGGGGCUGGCCCACUUUCUGGUAGGAGGUGGGGAGCAAAGUCCUGCAUCACCCACUGCAGCUGGAGGGAGAAUGAGGCCAGUGCAUGAGCCAGCCGGGUGCAUCAGUCAGCAUCCACAGAGCACGCCCCCUACUGGCUGCCCCUGUGAAAUCACAUUUGUUUGAUUUUUGUCUUGAUUUGCAACCCCCGGGGCCCAAAACAGGACUUUGAAGGCCAGGGCCAGACCCAGGUCUAAUCUGCUUCUGGGAGGGGCUGGAUCACCCAUUCCUUUGUGAACCAGCGCCACGGCCCCUCCCACUCGGCUUGCCCAGAGUAAUUCACAAAAGCAGAAUUGCAAGCCCUGGCAUGGGACGCACAGAACUCACAGACCCAAUCAUCUUCAAAUUCGCUCACAUCCAUGAUCAUACGGAUUUGGCAGAAGUACGAUUUCCUCUUUCAGAAAGAAGGCGGUGGACACUGAGGCUAUGAGCUGGUCUAGAACCUAAGUUCCUGCCCCUCAGUUCAGCGUCUCGUCCAUCACUCAGGCUGUGUCCCCCCUUCGUGAAGAUCUUAGGGAAGCAUAUUUUUUUUAACUUUUUUGUUUUGUUUUGUUUUGUUUUGUUUUAGAAUUGAAAUACAGCAUAGUUGAAAAACAAACACAAAUGAGGGCACAAUUCAGUGAAUUUCACAAAAAUUUCUCUCUAGCUUCAAGAUCCAGGUCAAGAAAUAAUAUUUCCCCAGAAGUUCCAAAGUUUGGUGUCACUGCUCAGCCACCAUCCCUGGAAAACACUUUUUACUUUCUGUUUGGCUUGUGGUGGCGUUGUAACUGUUCUGGCAAGAAUUUCCAUUCUUGGGGAAAAAAACCCCAGAGUUUCCAGGGAGACAGUGUUUAAAGAUAUAAGAGCACCAGGCUGGGGGCUGGAGAUUUGGGGUCUAUGACUUUGGCUGUGUCACUUCCUGUUCCCUGGACCUCAGUUUCCCCAUCUAAAAAACUUGGUGAUUUCCUCAAGAACAGGAGCUGAAACCCUCUCUGGGAGCCCAAGGUUGUCAGCAUCCUUGAUUUCAGGUUCUCUCUGGGACAUUGGGGCUCUGCAGCAGCUGGCAGCAGAGAGCUACACUGACCCCUAAUAACUGUCCUGUGGGGCCCGGGCUCAGCAUAUGUGUGUCCCCUUUGGUGGCUGCUAAUAAAAGCCCAUAAUAGGUGUGUCUUGCAUUUAGGAUGUAAACUGAUAACAACUUUUUUUCUUUCUUUUUUAGGGCUGCACCAGCGGCACAUGGAAAUUCCCAGCCUGGGAACUGCCAUAUGCCGAGGGUGUGGCCCUAGAAAGCAAAUAAGUAAGUAGGUAAAUAAAUAAAUAAAUAAAACAAACUUUAAAAAAUGAAAAAGAACAUCGUGACAAAGGGAAGCAUGAUAAACCUUUAUGGUUAGCUGAGCUUUGCCCCAAAUAUCCACUAAGAGAACCUAGUGAGUGAUGUGGAUCCAGGGAAGCCACUCCUUUCUCAAGGGAGUCAGAACAAAAAGCUUCAAACCAGUGCAUGAUGAUCUAGUCUCACCCCAUCUCCAUCAACUCUUCAAUGUCAGUAAUUAACUGAGCCUUCACCACCUCACAACUAAAGUUGUAUGUGUAACAAAGGAAAAUUGCAUUCAUAUUUGGCAUCGGUAUUUCUCUGGUGGGGAGUAAGAGUGGGGAAAAAACACCUUGAGGGAGUUCCCGUUGUGGCUCAGUGGUUAAUGAAUCCGACUAGGAACCAUGGGAUUGCAUGUUCAAUCCCUGGCCUUGCUCAGUGGGUUAAGGAUCUGGCAUUGCCGUGAGCUGUGGUGUAGGUUGCAGAUGCAGCUCGGAUCCUGCGUUGCUGUGGCUCUGGCAUAGGCUGGUAGCUACAGCUCCAAUUUGACCCCUAACCUGGGAAUCUCCAUAUGCUGCGGGAGCAGCCCAAGAAAUGGCAAAAAGACAAAACAAAACAAAACAAAAAAACCUUGAGAAAUCACUAAGGUGAGGACCUAAGAGUUAGUUGGCAGGAUCAGGGCACCAAUGAGGAAAAGUCAAACAUCCAUGCCUGAGAUGCAUGCUUUUCUCCAGGGACGGGGCAAAAAGGAGAGAAGAAAGCAGAAGCAGGAAAGGGAUUCUCUUGCAGAGAUGGGUGGGCCUGGACUGUGGAGGGCAAAGGACCUGGAAGAAACCCAGGGUGUUGGGAGACCAGGUGGAUUUUGAGAAGAAGGCUGGGCACGGCAGUGUGAUUUUGCUUACAGAAUGGUGGUGUAUGAUACAAAUCCUUCCUGUAACUCCCACAGUUUAUUAAAGUCUGUUGUUUUCACAG
rnacentral:lncRNA from 1 species